UAAACAGUGUACAUUGAGAUUUAUUAGAACAAGCACUAAUAGCAGCAGUGUACAGAGUGAUGGAGACAAGGUACUGUAUGCAUUGAACAAUAAUAAUUAUACAAUUGCACUUCUUCAGAGAUCUAUUAGAAAAUGCUUUUCAGUAAACAGUUUCCCAAAUCUAGCAUUGUUUGGAUUUGCCUCUGAGGAAAACAAUACAAAAAAUACGCUUUUUUUUUUUUUUUUGGUAAGGCAUUAGCAACAUUCAUUGGCAGGCUAAACAAGUCAUUUGUACAUGCAUUAUCCAACUACAUUGCAACAGGUAAAGAAGCGUCAUGUUCCCUCAAUAACUAGAAUUGCGUGUGUGUGUGUUUUGGACACAAUAUCCUGGUAAGUCCAGAUCAGCCUGAAGGAAACAGAUGACAUCUUUUGUUACAUUUUAGAGCACAACAUAAACUAUAGCAAAGCCAGGUUCACCUUUAUUUCCUACCAGAAGCUGUAGGACCUCUCUCAGUUGGAGUCGGUAUUAUGGAUAUUGUGUAUACCACAUACAUCACUGGAAUAAAGUCUUAAUUAAAUUAAAUAGUAAUUAAAUUACUAUUCCCCCCAUAGUACCUCCCUGAAUCAUGUGGCCAAAAGAUGCUCAACUGUAAUCAAUAUUAACUACUAUAUGAGCUUGGGGUUUAUUGCAUGAGAGGUAGUCAGCGUGAGGCCUCAUCUCAUUCUGGAUUACUACAACAGUAUGUUCAAAACCAAUCCAUGAGUGCAAAGACACAGAAUAAGUGUUGUAGCUGCAUUAUGUGGGAUAAAACUGUUUUUAAUUCUGCUCCUUCCUGACUAGGUUCAAUCUCUGAAGUAGCCAGAGAACUUGAUAUACCAAAAAAAAGCAAUUCUAUUCAUGUGCUAAACCCUAGAAGGAGAGAGGGGAGGCACUUCCUCACAUUCAUGUUAUUCUAGGCUGAGAUUAGGUGCAUGCUCUUAGUUAGCCACUUCCUUCUUUGCAAAUAACAAAGAUUACUCUCCCUUUCUGAUGGGCAUACAGUACUAGCAACCCUCGCUCUGGGCUGGCACCAUCCUGGGGAAAGUACAGGGAAACAGGUAUAAGAAAUGCAAAUAUUCUUAAAAUUGAGCUUGUCAGAGUGAGACAUAAUAUGAUGAAUUGUCAUUGAUUUAAUCUCAUGUUCUUUUUUCCAAAUGUCUUAUAUAAUUGAGCUUUGCAGAGACAUGAAGCUAACUGCUUUUUAAAAAAUACAAACCUCAGAAUAAAUCCAAAAUCCAAGAGAGUCAAAGGAAAGUCAAAUAUAUUGCUCUGAUUGGCAAGCAGUCAAACCAGCUGUAUUUCACACAUUUACCUUCCACAAGACAGUGCACAUAUUCAAAAUUAAUCUUAAGUGUAACUAUUUGAGUAUCUAGGCUUGACUGUAAGAUAGGCCCACAGCUGAAACAGAUUCGGGCAGCCAGAUCAUCCACUCAGCUGGAAGCUCACUGAGUUGUACCAACAGCAUCUCAGCCUCAUCUGCAUAGGUGCUCAUUCAUUUAAGCAUGUAGGAAUUAAAAAUCAAGUACUAUAGCAUCUGAUGUAACCAGAUACAUUGUUUUGAUUUCUUAGGAACGUCACUAUUGAUUCUCUUUUUUUGAACUUUAGUAUCUACACCUUUUAAACUGAAUUCAAUGAGAAUGUUUGCAAUGUUUAUGCUAAACACAUAUCGAUGCCAGUGUAAGAUCAGAGUCCAAGCAGAUGAAGCAGGAAAAGAAACAAAAUAAAAAUCUGAGUUGUGUAUUGCUGAUUAACUGUAAUAAAAGUCUAUAGAUUUAGAAUGUACAAAUUAUAUCCUACCCAUGUCAUUCCUCAGAUGUUGAUGCUUAGUAACUGUAAGCAAUACAAUUGUUUUUACAGGCACAAUUACAAACAGCAUUUAGAGUCAGAAUUGAUAAAAUGUAAAGAAGAAUCAUCCUGAAAGAUAUCCCAAACUUAUAAAUAGUCAAGCACAAAUGAAUGCAUUUGCAGGAAAGCAAUCAAGAUCAAUCAAGUUUUAUGUUUUCAAAUGUUAAAUUACUGAAUGUACCAUGAAGGACUAAACUUGUGCUUUAAAAAAUUGUGAUACUUCAAGUAGCUUUCAUAGUUUUCAAAACAAGUAUUUGCAAAUCAAUUUUCUAUUGAGUUGUUUAGAAAUUAUAGUACUGACUUUUUUUUUUUUCCCAGUUUCCUUUUUUUCUUCAUCUCAUUAUGGAAGUCCACAGUGAAUUUCUGAGCAUAAAAUUAAAGGUGCUGCAGGUGAAGUUUAAUAUUACAGUGCUCAAAAGUAACACCUUCUGCAUCAUUUAGGUAGCCGAGUACAUAAAUGCUUCUUUCUUUCUUUCCCUAAGUAAUAGUUUUCUAUUGCUUUCAAACAACAGAAAAAAAAAAUCUGGUGCACCUAGAAACACCACCCUUUCUAAUACAGUCUGUUCUUUCCCUCUAAAACAGACUCUUGUCUAACCAGUAUUCAAAAGCAGUUCUGACUCUAUUUGCUAAGCUUCUAGAAAGCAACUAUUUGCCUUUAAAAUCCAUCUUAAACACUGCAAAGCAAGGUUCUGUAUACCUUUCUAGCUGACAUAAUAGCAUAAUCCCAAUGGAGAGACUCUUGAGGACCUCAUUUUACAAGUAUGCUACACAGAGGUGUACAAGAAUUCACCAGAUUGCGGGGGGCGGGGGUGAGGGCGGCGCUGUAGGAUGAGCACAGGGGUAUGGGCAAUCAGCAAAGAAUGCUCUUUUAGCUAUUUAGAUUUUUGCAUUUUGACUCGCUAAAGAAUUGUUGCAGGGCUUUUUCCCAUCUGAAAUUAAAGGCUGUUACAAGCAAAGCAGCUCAGUAAGGCAAUGUAAAAUUGGCAACCAUCUAAACCUUACUCUUCUAAUGGCAUUU
ensembl:lncRNA